rnacentral:rRNA from 1 species
AGGGUGUAAACGCUGCGGGCUUGGUGUUGGGGGUCCUUAGUGGGCGCCCAGUGCCGGAGAGAAGUUGUUAAGCCUGCUGCUUGGGGAGUAUGUCCGCAAGGAUGAAACUUAAAGGAAUUGGCGGGGGGAGCACCGCAACGGGAGGAGCGUGCGGUUCAAUUGGAUUCAACGCCGAAAAACUCACCAGGAGCGACGGAUAUAUGAAGGUCAAGCUGAUGACUUUACCUGAUUUUUCCGAGAGGUGGUGCAUGGCGUAGUCGUGU